GAGGGUAUAGCUCAGUGGUAGAGAGUGUGCUUAGCAUGCAUAAGGUCCUGGGUUCAAUCCCCAGGACCUCCA
rnacentral:tRNA from 1 species